UGAGAGUUGAGAAAUUUAGGUACCAUAGUUCUAGUGCUGCCUAUGAGACGUGUACAGGCAAUAGAAUGAGAGCAUCUCUUAGUUAGAGGUCUUGAGUUAGUCAGUUCAGGGCUGCUGCUUAGGCAAAGAAAGGCCAAGAAGCUGCAUGCAGCCCUCCAAUCUCUCUGUUUCUUCCCUCUCAAUCUGAUCUGUGCUUUUCUUGAGUCCCUACCUACUGUAGGAGGUCUCCUCUACCAUACCCCCUGGCAGAUGGUUUAGACCCAUUGCAACUAAGCAGCACUGUGGAUGACAAGGAGCUCACCAUCAGCUUUUUUGGUGGUCAUUAGGACACACUGGCUCUUCAUGUGGAAUCUAAUCCUUCCCCUUUGACACCCUGCUUCUUUGUCCUAUCCUUGCUUUCCCUUAUAGCUCUUUAUGUAUUUGUAGAGGUUCCAAGCCCUUCCUAUAUUUGCUUACAGGCAAAAUAGUCCCCCUUCCUCAAUCAUAGGAAGAAGUGAUUUAAUGAACACUGUAGUGCAAGAGUGCUCUUUCCCAGGAUGACAUUUUCAUGCACAGUGUCCUACUCAGUGUCCUGCUGUCAGGUGGGAAGACACCAUACCCCAAUUGGCAUCUGCCUGGUACAGCAAGACUUGGUUUCUUUCAUGUAAAUAUUGAAUACUUCCUAAUGCAAGGAGGUGGAAUAUUCAGUGGAUUAUUUAUGUAGCUAUUAAAAUCAUAUUUAAUAUUAUGUGAUGCAAUGUAUUUCAUGAUGCAAUAUAAGAAAUGGGAAAAUC